GACGAACGCUGGCGGCGUGCUUAACACAUGCAAGUCGAACGGAAAGGCCCUGCUUUUGUGGGGUGCUCGAGUGGCGAACGGGUGAGUAACACGUGAGUAACCUGCCCUUGACUUUGGGAUAACUUCAGGAAACUGGGGCUAAUACCGGAUAGGAGCUCCUGCUGCAUGGUGGGGGUUGGAAAGUUUCGGCGGUUGGGGAUGGACUCGCGGCUUAUCAGCUUGUUGGUGGGGUAGUGGCUUACCAAGGCUUUGACGGGUAGCCGGCCUGAGAGGGUGACCGGCCACAUUGGGACUGAGAUACGGCCCAGACUCCUACGGGAGGCAGCAGUGGGGAAUAUUGCACAAUGGGCGGAAGCCUGAUGCAGCAACGCCGCGUGCGGGAUGACGGCCUUCGGGCUGUAGACCGCUUUCGCCUGUGACGAAGCGUGAGUGACGGUAAUGGGUAAAGAAGCACCGGCUAACUACGUG
rnacentral:rRNA from 1 species